AGUUCAACAUCUGGACAGAAGACAUACUCAUAAAGGCCACCAGCGAGGACAGCUCCUAUGAUGGGCCCAACCCAAUAUAUCUAAGGAAAAGAUGGAAGAGGAUAGAGUUCUUCCUCCAUGGGAUGAUAUAACAAAAGGGCCCUUGGCAGAUGCAAGCCCCUUGAUCUUGGACUUCCCAGCCUCCAGAACUAUGGUGUCUCACCCUGUUGCCCAGGCUGGAAUACAGUGGCACGAUCUUGGCUCACUGCAAUCUCAUCUCCCGGGUUCAAGCGAUUCUCCUGCCUCAGCCUCUCAAGUAGCUGGGAUUACAG